UGAUCUCAUUUUUCUCCAACCUUUUUUUUACUGGCAGAUUUGAUUGCGGCUUGUUUGCUAUUAUGUACAUGGAGAACUUAACUGCAAGGGGGUUAAAGCCAUUCAAUACAGUAUGACUUUUUGCUUUUCCUCUUUUUUUUCUACUCAAUUUUUGUGUGGAAUCUGUGUUGCGGAAUCUCUUUUCCGGACACACUAGCUUUUCCCUUUUUGUUGCUAGUAGUAUCUAAACAUGUUUUUUUUCUUUUGUUGCCGUGUAUGAUCAGGACACAACCUCGUUGCUCAACUUCCGCAAGUACAUCGCAGCAAAGCUUUUCAAACAUCCACAAAACACCCUCACCUCGGAGGAGGAGCUCGAAAAGUUGGUGAAGAAGUCAUAGUUUCAAGUGAAAAGACGACCGCAACAAGACCUAGCUAGUAGUUUUAGGCUUCUUCUUUUUUUCAGUGCAUGUGUGCGCGACAUGUGUUUUUGCAACUGAGUUCUCUAGUUACCUCGUCCUCAUCCUGAUGUGUUACAGGAGACAUUACCUGAUCUUUUUUGUCAUUGAUCACAUGUAGCUGGGGCAUGCCAUCUUUUUCGAGCAUGAGAAAUAUAAUUUGCAGUUACCUGAUCCCUGAUGUGUGAACAUGACAAAAUACAAAUACAAAUGGGCAGUUACCUGAUCCUGAUGGUGUGUUUCAAAAGCAUUUUUUCAUGUUUCUGUAAUGUGUUU
rnacentral:lncRNA from 1 species